rnacentral:piRNA from 1 species
UCCUGACUCUGCUUCUUAAAUGCUAA